rnacentral:rRNA from 1 species
AAUUUUCGGCAAUGGGGGCAACCCUGACCGAGCGACGCCGCGUGAGUGAAGAAGGUCUUCGGAUUGUAAAGCUCUGUUGAAAGGGAAGAACGGUACCAGUAGGGAAUGACUGGUACCUGACGGUACCUUACUAUCAAGCCACGGAUAACUACGUGCCAGCAGCCGCGGUAAUACGUAGGUGGCAAGCGUUAUACGGAAUUAUUGGGCGUAAAGGGAGCGCAGGCGGCUUAGUAAGUCUGAGGUUAAAGUUCGGGGCUCAACCCCGUGAUGCCUUAGAAACUGGUAGGCUAGAGGGCAGGAGAGGUGAGUGGAAUUCCAUGUGUAGCGGUAGAAUGCGUAAGUAUAUGGAGGAACACCAGUGGCGAAGGCGGCUCACUGGCCUGUAAAUGACGCUGAGGCUCAAAAGCGUGGGGGGCAGAUA